CUGGUCUGUCACUUUACUUACUCGUGUUCCAUCGUGCCGGGCACGGGUAUCGCGGGUUAUUUGCAUUUUUUAAAUAAAACACAUACAAAUUCGCGACGUGGAAAAUAAGAACGAAUGAAAUGUUUGAACAUAUGCACUAACCGACACUCGAGAUAUGAAAACUAUGUAAAUUACAAUAGAACUUUCGACAACAGUUAAAGCAAUUAAGAUAAAUUCUUGAGCGUAUUUUCAAAAUAAAGGAAUAAAAAUCACGCGCGUGGGAGCUGCAUCGUACAAUACCUAAGUGAUACCGUUCUUGUUAAUAUGAACGAACAGUGUUGUGCAACCUAUGGUACAAGUAACAAGUGAACUGUAAAAAUAAAGUAAUGGCGAGGGGGUGUGGUACGAAGUGAAAGCAACAAUAUUUGAAAUUCACAAUGAGAAACUGUCAAGGCAAAUAGGCAUGUGCAAUUGUACUAAUUAAAUUCACCUUUGGAAGCAUCGGCGUAAAACAAACAGCGAGAAAGCAAACAUACAACGUAAAAUGACUUAAAUUAAUUUCAUGAAAACGAUAGCUGCAAUUGGCAAAGGAGAUUGGGGAUGCUUUCUGCUUCUGAUUUGGGGAGAAAAUUUUUGGGAAAAUGUAAAAAAGAGAAUUUAUGGCAGUAAUGUGGCAAAUACUGAUCAAUUUUUCCAAAAAAGGGUUCUGAGAUAUGGAUAAAUAUACCCCAAUUCAUCGUUUCAUUGCCAUGGCGAUUUAAAGCAGUGAUAGGGAGUAAUGAGUUUGACCAUGCCCACAACAGUCGGGUCGACAUAACCGGAACUGACCCGAAUUUUUUAACCAAUCAAGGACUGUCAACUCAACAGAAUUCUGCCACUACAAUAACAACAACAGUAAUGAGUUUGCCACAAAAUCUAAGGAUUUGCUUUUAUUUUACUAAAAAUAAUGUGCCGUUUUCUUUCAGUUGUUUUUUUCUUAUUGAAUAUGUACUAUAGAUGUUACAUCGAUUUUUAUUACAUUAAAUAAAAAACUGUGAAAUUUUAAUAAA